GAUCCUGCUUUAAACAAACAAAAAAAUGUUUCAAAACAAAGCGUAGAAUCAAUGAAGACAGAAAGCUUUCUUUUAGUUGGUGGCCCCUGUGAAGGCUGGAGGAGGGUGAGAGCAGCAAGCAGGAAUGGCGGUCCUUCUCAGCCUCCCCAAGCAGCAGGAAUGGCGGUCCUUCUCAGCCUCCCCAAGCAGCAGGAAUGGCGGUCCUUCUCAGCCUCCCCAAGCAGGAACUCAUUCUGUACUUCAAGCUGGCCUUGAACUCACAGAGAUCCAUCCACCUGACUCUGCCUCCAGAGUGCUAGUUGUUGACGGCCAGGAGUCGCUCACAAACCACACCAACACCGAUCUCAGUCAGACAGGAACAGCUUUUUGAACACACACCCUAAGAAGGAUGGAUCAGGGACAUAGCUCAGACUGUAGCUGGAAGCUAUGACCACAAACACAGUCCAAGACUGGUAACGGCUCCCAGCCAGGCUCAACCCAACCCUCUCGUGCCCUGCAGUCAUCGCGGCUUUAAAAGAAAACCGAUUCUCUGGAAUGCUGUGCGUGCACAUGCCUGUCCUAGCAGCAGGCCCCACCUGCCGAGCAGAUGUUGAAACUAAUGGCAAACGGUGUGGAGUUUCUAGACAAGCUCACCAGAGGUAAUCCAAGAUGACAGGAAGUCCCCUGGGGGAGCCAGGGCUCCCGAUGUGAAGCCUACUAAAUCCUCACGGCAAUCACAUGACCAAGUGGAAAACAGAUGGGAACUUGAUUCAAGACUAUAACGUAAGCCUACUGCAUCCUAGUCCCUCAUUGGCUGAUACAGACCUGGGGUGCAGAGAGGAGACCUGAGCUGGCUGCUGGCCCUCUGCUCACCUAGGGGGCUGUUGGAGAUAGAGAAAACGUAGAUUGGAGACGUCAUUCUCACAGGAAUAAGUGGCAUGGAAAGGUGUCCCCCAAGGUUGCUCUAAAGAUGGAAUUUCAAAAUUCCAGCGUGAGAACACAAGCCUCCGAGUGGAGUCUGAGACAGCGUUGGGCUGUCAGGCCAGUUUGCUGGGAACCCUUUUCCCUUGCGCAGGACAGGUUAUGCUACAAAACUUGGGAGCAAGUCAUGCAGCGCGGGAACUGGUGCUUCCUGCUUGGUCUGUCCAGCUCAGACUUGUCCACCAGAGCCAAACCUGCUGGACUGGCUCCCAGGAGAGAAAGCUCCUCAGGGCCCUGAGCUGAUGGAGUCUGGUAGUCUGCAGGCCUGUUUAGCAUCCUCCUCCCAUCUGCUCUCUUUGGGCAGCAGAUGCCCACGUGGCAUAUGCUCUGCAGGCUGGUCAUCCAUGAGGCUGCUCAGUACUGCUGUUAAAGGGCUGUGGGUACUAAGGGGAUCAUCAGGACUCGGACAGGGCAACAGGCUCUUUACCUGCUCGUGAAAAUGGCCAAGGACACAUAGGCCACCGUGUUAGUGCUUUAAGAUAACUUUUCAAAAGUAUUCACUUAAUAAACCUAAUUUGUAUUACUUCCCUCUUACUAAAUAUCACAAUUUCCACAAGUAA